rnacentral:rRNA from 1 species
GACGAACGCUGGCGGCGUGCUUAACACAUGCAAGUCGAACGGAAAGGCCCUGCUUUUGUGGGGUGCUCGAGUGGCGAACGGGUGAGUAACACGUGAGUAACCUGCCCUUGACUUUGGGAUAACUUCAGGAAACUGGGGCUAAUACCGGAUAGGAGCUCCUGCUGCAUGGUGGGGGUUGGAAAGUUUCGGCGGUUGGGGAUGGACUCGCGGCUUAUCAGCUUGUUGGUGGGGUAGUGGCUUACCAAGGCAUUGACGGGUAGCCGGCCUGAGAGGGUGACCGGCCACAUUGGGACUGAGAUACGGCCCAGACUCCUACGGGAGGCAGCAGGGGGGAAUAUUGCACAAUGGGCGGAAGCCUGAUGCAGCAACGCCGCGUGCGGGAUGACGGCCUUCGGGUUGUAAACCGCUUUCGCCUGUGACGAAGCGUGAGUGACGGUAAUGGGUAAAGAAGCACCGGCUAACUACGUG